rnacentral:sRNA from 1 species
GUUAUUUCGGACUACGCUACUAGUCUAAGUCCUUCGAGGACUACGUUAUUUUGGUGAUGACACCUACAGAUACUCCUCAAGUCGGUAGCUCUGUCGUUGGUGAUUAAACAAUCCUUAGAGUCAUGGGAUCGUGUUGCCAACCUAAACAAGCCAUAAUAACUUUGACGGUGAGGAUCAACGUGUUUCUCGUGUUUCACG